rnacentral:rRNA from 1 species
AUAGCCAUAAACAUAAAUAAAUAAAAUAACAAAUUUAUUCGCCUGAGAACUACAAGCAAUCGCUAGAAACUCAAAGGACUUGGCGGUGCUUCACAUCCGCCUAGAGGAGCCUGUUCCGCAACCGAUAAACCCCGAUCCACCUUACCACUUCUUGUUAAUUCAGCCUAUAUACCGCCAUCCUCAGCUAACCCUAAAAGGGAACAUAAGUAAGCACAAUAAUUACAAAAUAAUAAAAAAGUUAGGUCAAGGUGUAGCCAAUGAAGUGGAGUGCAAUGGGCUACAUUUUCUGUAAUCAGAACAUUACGGACUUCUCUCUGAAAAACAGAGAAUGAAGGAGGAUUUAGUAGUAAGUUAAAAAUAGAGCGUUUAACUGAAUAGAGCAAUGAA